rnacentral:rRNA from 1 species
AGUGAACGCUGGCGGCAGGCCUAACACAUGCAAGUCGAGCGGCAGCGCGUCCGACCACCCUCGGGUGGUCGGAUGGCGGCGAGCGGCGGACGGGUGAGGAAUGCAUCGGAAUCUGCCUCGUUGUGGGGGAUAACGUAGGGAAACUUACGCUAAUACCGCAUACGACCUACGGGUGAAAGUGGGGGACCUUCGGGCCUCACGCGAUGAGAUGAGCCGAUGCCGGAUUAGCUAGUUGGCGGGGUAAAGGCCCACCAAGGCGACGAUCCGUAGCUGGUCUGAGAGGAUGAUCAGCCACACUGGAACUGAGACACGGUCCAGACUCCUACGGGAGGCAGCAGUGGGGAAUAUUGGACAAUGGGGGCAACCCUGAUCCAGCCAUGCCGCGUGUGUG